rnacentral:rRNA from 1 species
CCCGCUGAACUUGAGCAUAUCAAUAAGCGGAGGAAAAAGAAACCAACAGGGAUUGCUCUAGUAACGGCGAGUGAAGCAGCAAUAGCUCAAAUUUGAAAUCUGGCGUCUUCGACGUCCGAGUUGUAAUUUGUAGAGGAUGCUUCUGAGUGGCCACCGACCUAAGUUCCUUGGAACAGGACGUCAUAGAGGGUGAGAAUCCCGUAUGCGGUCGGAAAGGCGCUCUAUACGUAGCUCCUUCGACGAGUCGAGUUGUUUGGGAAUGCAGCUCUAAAUGGGAGGUAAAUUUCUUCUAAAGCUAAAUAUUGGCCAGAGACCGAUAGCGCACAAGUAGAGUGAUCGAAAGAUGAAAAGCACUUUGGAAAGAGAGUUAAAAAGCACGUGAAAUUGUUAAAAGGGAAGGGAUUGCAACCAGACUUGCUCGCGGUGUUCCGCCGGUCUUCUGACCGGUCUACUCGCCGCGUUGCAGGCCAGCAUCGUCUGGUGCCGCUGGAUAAGACUUGAGGAAUGUAGCUCCCUCGGGAGUGUUAUAGCCUCUUGUGAUGCAGCGAGCGCCGGGCGAGGUCCGCGCUUCGGCUAGGAUGCUGGCGUAAUGGUCGUAAUCCGCCCGUCUUGAAACACGGACCAAGGAGUCUAACAUCUAUGCGAGUGUUCGGGUGUCAAACCCCUACGCGUAAUGAAAGUGAACGGAGGUGAGAACCGCAAGGUGCAUCAUCGACCGAUCCUGAUGUCUUCGGAUGGAUUUGAGUAAGAGCAUAGCUGUUGGGACCCGAAAGAUGGUGAACUAUGCCUGAAUAGGGUGAAGCCAGAGGAAACUCUGGUGGAGGCUCGCAGCGGUUCUGACGUGCAAAUCGAUCGUCAAAUUUGGGUAUAGGGGCGAAAGACUAAUCG